rnacentral:sRNA from 1 species
CCGUAGCCCUUCUGGCUGAAG